rnacentral:rRNA from 1 species
CUGGGCGUAAAGAGCUCGUAGGUGGUUUGUCGCGUUGUUCGUGAAAUCUCACGGCUUAACUGUGAGCGUGCGGGCGAUACGGGCAGACUUGAGUACUGCAGGGGAGACUGGAAUUCCUGGUGUAGCGGUGGAAUGCGCAGAUAUCAGGAGGAACACCGGUGGCGAAGGCGGGUCUCUGGGCAGUAACUGACGCUGAGGAGCGAAAGCGUGGGGAGCGAACAGGAUUAGAUACCCUGGUAGUCCACGCCGUAAACGGUGGGUACUAGGUGUGGGUUUCCUUCCUUGGGAUCCGUGCCGUAGCUAACGCAUUAAGUACCCCGCCUGGGGAGUACGGCCGCAAGGCUAAAACUCAAAGAAAUUGACGGGGGCCCGCACAAGCGGCGGAGCAUGUGGAUUAAUUCGAUGCCACGCGAAGAACCUUACCUGGGUUUGACAUGCACAGGACGCCGGCAGAGAUGUCGGUUCCCUUGUGGCCUGUGUGCAGGUGGUGCAUGGCUGUCGUCAGCUCGUGUCGUGAGAUGUUGGGUUAAGUCCCGCAACGAGCGCAACCCUUGUCUCAUGUUGCCAGCGGGUAAUGCCGGGGACUCGUGAGAGACUGCCGGGGUCAACUCGGAGGAAGGUGGGGAUGACGUCAAGUCAUCAUGCCCCUUAUGUCCAGGGCUUCACACAUGCUACAAUGGCCGGUACAAAGGGCUGCGAUGCCGCGAGGUUAAGCGAAUCCUUUUAAAGCCGGUCUCAGUUCGGAUCGGGGUCUGCAACUCGACCCCGUGAAGUCGGAGUCGCUAGUAAUCGCA